rnacentral:rRNA from 1 species
UACGUAGGGUGCGAGCGUUAAUCGGAAUUACUGGGCGUAAAGCGUGCGCAGGCGGUGAGCUGUGUCCGAUGUGAAAGCCCCGGGCUUAACCUGGGAAUGGCAUUGGAAACUGGCUCGCUGGAGUGUGGCAGAGGGGGGUGGAAUUCCGCGGUGUAGCAGUGAAAUGCGUAGAGAUGCGGAGGAACACCGAUGGCGAAGGCAGCCCCCUGGGCUAACACUGACGCCUCAUGCACGAAAGCGUGGGGAGCAAACAGG